AUUGAACGCUGGCGGCAUGCCUUACACAUGCAAGUCGAACGGUAACGCGGGGCAACCUGGCGACGAGUGGCGAACGGGUGAGUAAUGCAUCGGAACGUGCCCAGUCGUGGGGGAUAACUGCUCGAAAGAGCAGCUAAUACCGCAUACGACCUGAGGGUGAAAGCGGGGGAUCGCAAGACCUCGCGCUAUUGGAGCGGCCGAUGUCAGAUUAGGUAGUUGGUGGGGUAAAGGCCCACCAAGCCAACGAUCUGUAGCUGGUCUGAGAGGGCGACCAGCCACACUGGGACUGAGACACGGCCCAGACUCCUACGGGAGGCAGCAGUGGGGAAUUUUGGACAAUGGACGCAAGUCUGAUCCAGCCAUGCCGCGUGCGGGAAGAAGGCCUUCGGGUUGUAAACCGCUUUUGUCAGGGAAGAAACGCUCUGGGUUAAUACCUCGGGGUAAUGACGGUACCUGAAGAAUAAGCACCGGCUAACUACGUGCCAGCAGCCGCCGUAACAC
rnacentral:rRNA from 1 species